GCCAGCCCGCUCAGAACUAAGGAAUUGACGGGGCCCGCACAAGCGGUGGAGUAUGUGGUUUAAUCGAUGCAACGCGAAGAACCUUACCUGGUCUUGACAUCCCGGAGACCCUUAGGAAACUAGGGGGUGCUUCCAUCUGGAAGAAUCUGGAGACAGGUGCUGCAUGGCUGUCGUCAGCUCGUGUCGUGAGAUGUUGGGUUAAGUCCCGCAACGAGCGCAACCCUUGCCUUUAGUUGCCAGCAGUUCGGCUGGGCACUCUAAAGGGACUGCCGGUGUUAAACCGGAGGAAGGUGGGGAUGACGUCAAGUCCUCAUGGCCUUUAUGACCAGGGCUACACACGUACUACAAUGGCCGAUACAAAGGGCAGCGACACUGCGAGGUGAAGCCAAUCCCGUAAAAUCGGUCUCAGUCCGGAUUGGAGUCUGCAACUCGACUCCAUGAAGUUGGAAUCGCUAGUAAUCGUGGAUCAGCAUGCCACGGUGAAUACGUUCCCGGGCCUU
rnacentral:rRNA from 1 species